UACGUAGGGUGCGAGCGUUAAUCGGAAUUACUGGGCGUAAAGCGUGCGCAGGCGGUUUUGUAAGCCAGAUGUGAAAUCCCCGGGCUUAACCUGGGAAUGGCAUUUGGGACUGCAAGGCUUGAGUGCGGCAGAGGAGACUGGAAUUCCCGGUGUAGCAGUGAAAUGCGUAGAUAUCGGGAGGAAUACCGAUGGCGAAGGCAGGUCUCUGGGCUGAACACUGAGCGCUCGAUGCACGAAAGCGUGGGGAGCAAACAGGA
rnacentral:rRNA from 1 species